AGCUCCAAUAGCGUAUAUUAAAGUUGUUGCAGUUAAAAAGCUCGUAGUUGGAUUUCUGGUCGGGUGGCCUCGUCCUCAAGCUGAGUGUACUUGGUGACCCGACCAUCCUUCUGUUAACCUUUAAGUUCUUCACGAUCUUCUAGGGGCUCAGAUAUUUUACCUUGAGAAAAUUAGAGUGUUUCAGGCAGGCUAGCGCCGGAAUACAUUAGCAUGGAAUAAUGGAAUAGGACUUUUGCCUCUUCUGUUGGUCUGAGGGGUUCGAGUAAUGAUUAAUAGGGAUAGUUGGGGGCAUUAGUACUUAACUGUCAGAGGUGAAAUUCUUGGAUUGUGUUACGACAAACUACUGCGAAAGCAUUUGCCAAGGAUGUUUUCAUUGAUCAAAGAACG
rnacentral:rRNA from 1 species